rnacentral:tRNA from 1 species
CGGGCUGUAGCGCAGCGGUAGCGCGCUUCGUUCGGGACGAAGAGGCCGCGGGUUCGAUCCCCGCCAGCCCGACCA